AACGAACGUGUGAUAAGUGAAGAUCAACCUUCUUACUUUUGGCUAGGCCACUAACACCAUCUAGUGAACUCUUUACAAACUAUGUCAAUAUUUAUUAUAUAAUAGAUAUGAAAUAUAUUACAUACCCUAAGCUUCCAGUCUAAACUUUAAAAAGGUUUUAGUUGAUUUUUAUACCAAUUUGCCUUAAAGCGCUAGCUGUCAUAUCAAACAGUGAGAAUCGGGCGGACUCAGAAAAACAUUUAUAAGAUCUUUCCGUUUGA